UGCGCGCGACGGCGCCGCCGGACUCCCCCGGACCGCGCUCCCGCGCACGCCUGACCGGAGCACCCCGCUUCACGGGGGCGUUCUGCGCGUCCUUCCUCCCCGGCUGCCUAGAUCACACGGCCCCGUUUCAUUCAUUUUUACUGAAUAACGGUCGUUGGACAAUUUAGAGAAGCAGCAGAAACCACGAGAAAAACAGUGGAGUCAAACGGCGAUUUCCUCAAUCCUCUUUUUUUGUUUCCCUUGCAUUUUUUAUGGGAGAAACUGAACGGUUUGUUCUGAAGAAGUUGACAUUCUGGACUUUGUAGCUGCAGGUACAUGGGCUUCUACAAUUUCGUCUAUUUCAUCCUGCAGUUAUUUUCACGGGUCUCUGUGUCCACCACUAUCUGGAAUCUCUGAGAUGGCGCUGUUGUAGGAGCAAGGUAUACAAUGAUGAUCAAGGCAGAUGCAGCCCUUACCUUCAGGUCGUGGAGUCCGGAUACAGACUGGAGGCAGAGGCAGCUGUAAGAUGUGUGACAAAUGCUGCGCUGGAUCAGCCCAUGGUAUUAGGAGAGCAGCCUCCCAAAGUGCUGGGAUUGCAGGUGCGAGCCACCGGGUCCAGCCUCUCAGGCGAUUUUCAUACCUGCAUACUCUGAUCACUACGCUGUUAAACAGUCAAGGAGGCUGAGUGCCACGUGCUGACAUCACUAAGAUCAAUACAGCAAACUCUGAAAGAUGGACGGAGAGACAGGAGAUGGUCCUUUAUAAUGCAGUGUGAUCUGUGCUGCAAUAGAGUUUUGGAAGCUAGAAGUUCAAAACGAGGUGUUGGCAGCACCAUGCUCUCUCUGAAGAUGCUAGGAAGAAUCUGCUCCAUGCCUUUCCAUUCGCUUCUGGGGUUUCCUGCAAGCCCUGACAUUCCUUGGCUUGUAGAUACACCACCCCAGUUUCCGCCCCCAUCAUCACAUGGCCUCCUCUCUGUGUGUGCCUCUGCGUUCCCUCUAUUCUUCUUCUAAGGACACCGACACCAGUCAUAGUGGAUUAAGGGUCCACUCCUAACCAAUUACAUCUGCAACAACCCUAUUUCCAAAUAAAGUCACAUUC